AGGGCACCACCAGGAGUGGAGCCUGCAGCUUAUAUUGACUCAACAUGGGAAACCUCUCCCCACCUGGAUAUGGACAGGAUUGACAGAUUGAUAGCUCUUUCUCAGUUCCAUGGGUGCUGGUGCAUGGCCAUUCUUAGUUGGUGGAGCCAUUUGUCUGGUUAAUUCUGAUAACCAGUGAGACUCUGGCACUGGCAUGCUAACUAGUUAUGUGACCUCCAAGCGGUCAGCAUCCCCCAACUUCUUAGAGAGACAAGUGGCAUUCAGCCCCCUAAGAUUGAGCA
rnacentral:rRNA from 1 species